GGCCAGGCUGCCAGAGCGAGCAGUGACAACGUGCUGGGGUCCUCUUCCACGCUGUAGAAGCUUUGUUCUUUCGCUGUUUGCAAUAAAUAUUGCAACUGCUUACUCUUUGGGUCCACACUGCCUUUAAGAGCUGUAACACUCACUGUGAAGGUCUGCAGCUUCGUUCUUGAAGCCCGCGAGACCAUGAGCCCACUGGGAGGAACAAACAACUCCAGAUGCGCUGCCUUAAGAGCUGUAACGCUCACCGCAAAGGUCUGCAGCUUCACUCCUGAGCCAGCCAGACCACGAACCCCACCAGAAGGAAGAAACUCCGAACACAUCUGAACAUCAGAAGGAACAAACUCUGGACACGCCGCCUUUAAGAACUGUAACACUCACCGCGAGGGUCUGCGGCUUCAUUCUUAAAGUCAGUGAGACCAAGAACCCACCAAUUCCGGACACAAUAGGAGUGAGAUUGGGCUAUGUGUCCUUUAUCUUCUAGUACUCUAGCCCCUCUUUCCGAGACAUUUGGUAACGUUCCAGUAACAAAAUGAAAUCACAUGCCAGAACCCAGAAUUAGAAGAGGACACCACACAAAAUUACAUGGCAAGGGUACAAAGAAAAGUUGGAAUUGUAACAGGACCUUCCGGAUGUGAAACAUGCUAGGUCACCAUGUUAUGGUGGUAGAUUGUCCUGGGAGGCAGAGUUGGCUUCUUGAUUCCACCUCUGCUGCAUGCCAACAAGGUGACAUUGGAUAGGGGCCUCAGUUCACUGGUCUAUAAAAAAAAAAA
rnacentral:lncRNA from 10 species